rnacentral:rRNA from 1 species
AUUGAACGCUGGCGGCAGGCUUAACACAUGCAAGUCGAGCGAGCGGCGGACGUGUGAGUAAUGUCUGGGAAACUGCCUGAUGGAGGGGGAUAACUACUGGAAACGGUAGCUAAUACCGCAUACCAUCAGAUGUGCCCACAUUGGAUGAGCUAGUAGGGGGGGUGAUGGCUCACCUAGGCGACGAUCCCUAACUGGUCUGAAAGGAGGACCAGCCACACUGGAAGUGAGAGAGGGUCCAGACACUGACGGUGGGAAGCAGUCGGGACUAUUGCACAAUAGAGGCAAGGCUGAUGCAGCCAUGCCGCGUGUGUGAAGAAGGCCUUCGGGUUGUAAAACACUUUAAGCGAGGAGGCGUUACUCGCAGAAGAAGCACCGGCUAACUCCGUGCCAGCAGCCGCGGUAAUUC